rnacentral:rRNA from 1 species
UCGCCCGGCCGUGCGACGAUACUUAAGUGAAGAGUUUGAUCCUGGCUCAGAUUGAACGCUGGCGGCAUGGCUAAAACAUGCAAGUCGAACGAGGUUUUUUCUUCGGAUAAGACCUAAUGGCGAAAGGGCGAGUAAUACAUUUCUGACGUACCCCGAGGUUCGGGAUAGCCCAGGGAAACCUGGAGUAAUACCGGAUGCGGUCAACGGGUCCAGAAGCCGUUGAUCAAAGGAGCAAUCCGACUUGGGAGCGGGAAAUGUCCUAUCAGGUAGUUGGCGGGGUAACGGCCCACCAAGCCGAAGACGGGUAGCGGGUGUGAGAGCACGGCCCGCCGCAUCGGGACUGAGACACUGCCCGGACUCCUACGGGAGGCUGCAGUAACGAAUAUUCCACAAUGCGCGAAAGCGUGAUGGAGCAAUGCCGCGUGCAGGAUGAAGGCCUUCGGGUUGUAAACUGCUGUCAGGGUUUAGGAACAUAAUGACCAGACCCAAAGGAAGAGACGGCUAACUCUGUGCCAGCAGCCGCGGUAAUACAGAGGUCUCGAGCGUUAAUCGGAAUCACUGGGCUUAAAGCGUACGCAGGCGGACCGGUAAGUACUUUGUGAAAUCCCCCGGCUCAACCGGGGAACUGCUUGGUAUACUGCCGGUCUCGAGCAUGGUAGAGGCGGUCGGAACGAUAGGUGGAGCGGUGAAAUGCGUAGAUAUCUAUCGGAACGCCGAAGGUGAAGACAGGCCGCUGGGCCAUGGCUGACGCUCAGGUACGAAAGCGUGGGGAGCGAACGGGAUUAGAUACCCCGGUAGUCCACGCCCUAAACGAUGUGCACUAGAUCAGGGAGGUUCUGAUACCCUCCGGGUCGAAGCAAAAGUGUUAAGUGCACCGCCUGGGGAGUACGGUCGCAAGGCUAAAACUCAAAGGAAUUGACGGGGGCUCACACAAGCGGUGGAGCAUGUGGCUUAAUUCGAAGCAACGCGAAGAACCUUAUCCUGGGCUUGACAUGCACGGAUUAGCGCAUGGAAACAUGCGUGACGCGGUUUACCGUGGAACGUGCACAGGUGCUGCAUGGCUGUCGUCAGCUCGUGCUGUGAAGUGUCGGGUUAAGUCCCUCAACGAGCGAAACCCCUGUCGUUAGUUGCCAGCGAGUCAUGUCGGGGACUCUAACGAGACUGCCGGUGUCAAACCGGAGGAAGGUGGGGAUGACGUCAAGUCCUCAUGGCCUUUAUGUCCAGGGCUGCACACGUGCUACAAUGGCAUGUACAAAGCGAUGCAAUGCCGCGAGGCGGAGCAAAUCGCAGAAAGCAUGCCCCAGUUCAGAUUGCAGUCUGCAACUCGACUGCAUGAAGUCGGAAUCGCUAGUAAUCGGAGAUCAGCUACGCUCCGGUGAAUACGUUCCUGAGCCUUGUACACACCGCCCGUCAAGUCAUGGAAGCCGGGAGCACCCGAAGUCGCCUCAACUCAGAGGUGCCUACGGUGAGAUCGGUGACUGGGACUAAGUCGUAACAAGGUAGCCGUAGGAGAACCUGCGGCUGGAUCACCUCCUUUCUG